AUUACCGCCACCGCCACCUGUCGUACGGGAAGUCCAAGGUAAAGGCCACACUGAGUUCAGUUACCAGCUAAAACUCUUCUUUUCUUGGACUAGAAAACUAAUGUAACAGUUUUUCGAACAGAUAAUGAUAAUACUUACCGACGUUGGCCAAAAAGUCCAGUGUUAAAGUCCCCCGUUAUAUAGCUGUGUAUUGUUUACAAAAUGUCUACAGCAUUAGCCUGUUCCAGAACAUAGCCGUAGCCCUCGCUGAGGCGCCUGCAAAGACUAUUUCCUGUGUUUGAAGAGUGGCUGCAACAUGGUACAUUCCAGGACAUAGCCGAAGCCCCCGCUGUUGUACGUGCUAAAACUAGCCUACUUCCUGUGUUUGAAGGGGAGGCUCAUUCGCCACUGCCAGCCCUGAGAUUAUUAUCAUUAAGAGAAGGCAAAUAAAAUGGAACGUCAAGACAAGAUAAAGACCUUCACCCACCUUCUACCACAUGAUCGGGAUCACAGGAGCGCGCACCAAAUAAGACACGUGACGACUCCGCAUGAUUAUUGGCGCAAUCACUCAUGUAACAGCCUGCCCAGCUUUCCGUGGGGGCUCCAGUAUUUGUCACUGUCACUUCCCCAAGUGCUCCGCCAUUGUCUUGGAAAUUGUAUGUGUAAGGCAAGAGAUGCCUGUGACCCACUUCGACAAGGGAGCCAGCGAUGUGAGGGCGCUCAUCACACAAAAAAACAGCAGUUUGAUGUGUCCUAUUAUGUGUCCCAGCAAGAGCCAUAAAUAAUUGUGACAAGUUUUUUGUUGCGCGUGAAAGUCCUUGACUCUGCCUCCUGUUCCAGCACCUCCUCUCUCGUAUGGAGACGCUGCCAAGCACCCCCGAUGAUAGAUGGCACGGUGCAGCAAAUGACAACGGGAUAGAUUUUUAGUUUGUGCUUUGGAAGGGAUCAGUAAUGGUGCUUUGCUGUACAAAGCAAUAAAAGAGAAGGACAAGAGACAGAGGGGGGAGAAUGAGGAGAACACACACAAGAAAAAAAAAAAGAUCCAUCGAUGCCGGAGAGGGAAGAAUGAUAGUCGGUGACGCAUG